rnacentral:rRNA from 1 species
AAAUGAAUUGACGGGGACCCGCACAAGCGGUGGAGCAUGUGGUUUAAUUCGAAGCAACGCGAAGAACCUUACCUAAACUUGACAUCCCAAUGCCGGCUCUUUAAUCGGAGCGUUACUAGCUUGCUAGUACAUUGGAGACAGGUGGUGCAUGGUUGUCGUCAGCUCGUGUCGUGAGAUGUUGGGUUAAGUCCCGCAACGAGCGCAACCCUUAUCUUUAGUAGCCAUCAUUAAGUUGGGCACUCUAGAGAGACUGCCAGGGAUAACCUGGAGGAAGGUGGGGAUGACGUCAAAUCAUCAUGCCCCUUAUGUUUAGGGCUACACACGUGCUACAAUGGGUGCUACAAAGUGAAGCAAAGCCGCGAGGACAAGCAAAUCACAAAAAGGCACUCCCAGUUCGGAUUGUAGUCUGCAACUCGACUACAUGAAGUUGGAAUCGCUAGUAAUCGCGAAUCAGAAUGUCGCGGUGAAUACGUUCCCGGGUCUUGUACACACCGCCCGU